CGUUUUUUCGUCAAGUUGGGAUAAUAUUCUGAGAACUCUAAAAAUGAACGCAUAUAGUUUUGAAUAUAAUAUACUUUAUUGAUUAAAAAAAAGUUUCGUUUAAUUACGGAUUUUCAUCUACUUUUCGAAUGUAAAGAUUUAAUGUUUAACCUUAAAAGAAUAGUAUCUGAAUAAUAUUGAUAAUAUUGAUAAAAAAGGUUCAAAGAAUUUACCACGACCACAUAAAUUAUUCAGGUUAACAUGAUAGGGCUAAUUUUGAACAUCGACGCAAAGUAACGCGCCACGAACGGAAAUGGCUGCCACAGUCGAAGAUAACAAAUUAUCAUACUGCCACUAGCGGGAGAAUUGUAUCAAUAUCAAUAUCUGAGAAGAAUAACGUGGGCCAACGACCAGCCAUUUCCCGCAAGAUAAAAGUGCGUUAGAACAAGAGAUAUACGCGAUGAGUUCAUCCUGCCAAAGACAAGUGGGUGUCCUCAGGAAGUACAACACCGGAACCACGGCAAAUUCCGGCGCUAACUCGACAUUUCUCCAAUAUGACAAUUAUAAAACUGCUUUUUGUUAAAUGGACAGUCGAUGAGAAAUUACAUAUUUAGCUGGAGAACUAACGUAUGGAAAUAUUAACGCAACAGAUAAUAUAUAUAUAUAUAUAUAUAUAAUAUAACUUUUGUUAUAGGAGAAAGAUAGAAUUGUACACGAAUAUAAUAUGAUAAUAUGAAAAAUAUCCAUUAUAAUAUAUAUGAAAUUUAAAAUUAAAAAAAAAGUUACAAUUUUGAGGUUAUAUCAUUACUUUUUCGAAUCAAUGUUAUUGUUAAUGACAAUAUGUAAAAAUCGAUGGAAUAUUAAACCUAAAUUUAAAAUGUAA